UGGGGAGGGCAGAGGACGGGCAGAGGAUGGGAGUUCAGCUUUGUGCCCAGAGGAGGCUUUGAAGAACUGGGCGUGGUGGAGGCAGCAGCAGCACUGCAGAGGCACAAAGUCAGGAAGCCAUGGAGCAUGCGUGGGAGAGGAGCUAAAGAUAAGAGCAGAAACUGAGGGCCAGAGAGAGAACUGCUGCUUAGGGGCACUUGCUGAAUGCUGAAUAAACCACAUGUCCUAAUUGAAGGCCCGCAGAGUCCAUUGGGAAGGUUCUAGUUCAUGCAACAGAGGAUAGGUAAUGUGACAUAAUGGGAAGCAGAAGAAUGCCUAAACUAUUCAUCUGCUGUAUAGGGAGGUGUUUUUAGAAAGGAAGAAAACACUUCUCAUAAAUGUGGACAGACACAGAACAUGCAGCUGCCCUGGGCCUGCCUCUCUGUGCUGCAGGGCUGUCAGAUCCAAUGCCCUUGGCAUCUGUAGAGAAAAGCAAUCCACACAAUUCUUAUACAUAAAAUAAAAACCAUUUU
rnacentral:lncRNA from 1 species